UUGCCAGACUCCUACGGGAGGCAGCAGUGAGGAAUAUUGGUCAAUGGCCGCAGGGCUGAACCAGCCAAGUCGCGUGAGGGAUGACGGUCCUAUGGAUUGUAAACCUCUUUUGUCAGGGAGCAAAGGGCGCCACGUGUGGCGCUUUGCGAGUACCUGAAGAAAAAGCAUCGGCUAACUCCGUGCCAGCAGCCGCGGUAAUACGGAGGAUGCGAGCGUUAUCCGGAUUUAUUGGGUUUAAAGGGUGCGCAGGCGGGCUGUUAAGCCGGCGGUAAAAAUUCAGGGCUCAACCCUGUCGAGCCGUCGGAACUGGCAGUCUUGAGUGGGCGAGAAGUAUGCGGAAUGCGUGGUGUAGCGGUGAAAUGCAUAGAUAUCACGCAGAACGCCGAUUGCGAAGGCAGCAUACCGGCGCCCAACUGACGCUGAGGCACGAAAGCGUGGGGAUCGAACAGGAUUAGAUACCCCUGUA
rnacentral:rRNA from 1 species